AAAGAUUAAGCCAUGCAUGUCUAAGUUUAAGUGUAUUAACAGCGAAACUGCGGACGGCUCAUUAAAUCAGAAAUAAUGGACACGGUUGUUAAAGUUACAUGGAUAACUGUAGUAAUUCUAGAGCUAAUACAUGCCUCAAAGGCCUUUCGGGGUCUGAGUAGCACUCGUGUAAACCUUCAGAGGCAACUCUUUUAGGUGAAACUGGUGCUCUAUCUGAUCGCACAGCAUUAGCUAGCGACAAUCCGUCCUAAUUUCUGCCCUAUCAAGUAUCGAUGGUGGUGUAGUGGACCACUAUGCUUU
rnacentral:rRNA from 1 species